UUGAAUCUGAAUUUUUUAAAUUCAUAUUCUUUUUUAAACCCUUGAUAACAAGACCAUGUUGCUUCCACUGGCCUGACGAAAGUCUUGCUGGUGGGAAGAUAAAUAUAAAAACUUUUUCUUCUGUCUGAUUUAUAUAUAUUUUUAAUAUAUA
rnacentral:misc_RNA from 1 species